AUUGAACGCUGGCGGCAGGCCUAACACAUGCAAGUCGAGCGGUAGAGCGAAGCUUGCUUCUCUUGAGAGCGGCGGACGGGUGAGUAAUGCCUAGGAAUCUGCCUGGUAGUGGGGGAUAACGUUCGGAAACGGACGCUAAUACCGCAUACGUCCUACGGGAGAAAGCAGGGGACCUUCGGGCCUUGCGCUAUCGGAUGAGCCUAGGUCGGAUUAGCUAGUUGGUGGGGUAAUGGCUCACCAAGGCGACGAUCCGUAACUGGUCUGAGAGGAUGAUCAGUCACACUGGAACUGAGACACGGUCCAGACUCCUACGGGAGGCAGCAGUGGGGAAUAUUGGACAAUGGGCGAAAGCCUGAUCCAGCCAUGCCGCGUGUGUGAAGAAGGUCUUCGGAUUGUAAAGCACUUUAAGUUGGGAGGAAGGGCAGUAAAUUAAUACUUUGCUGUUUUGACGUUACCGACAGAAUAAGCACCGGCUAACUCGGUG
rnacentral:rRNA from 1 species